rnacentral:rRNA from 1 species
GACGAACGCUGGCGGCGUGCCUAAUACAUGCAAGUAGAACGCUGAAGGAGGAGCUUGCUUCUCUGGAUGAGUUGCGAACGGGUGAGUAACGCGUAGGUAACCUGCCUGGUAGCGGGGGAUAACUAUUGGAAACGAUAGCUAAUACCGCAUAAUAUUGACUAUUGCAUGAUAGUCAGUUGAAAGGUGCAACUGCACCACUACCAGAUGGACCUGCGUUGUAUUAGCUAGUUGGUGGGGUAACGGAUCACCAAGGCGACGAUGCAUAGCCGCACUGAGAGGGGGAUCGGCCACACUGGGACUGAGACACGGCCCAGACUCCUACAGGAGGCAGCAGUAGGGAAUCUUCGGCAAUGGACGGAAGUCUGACCGAGCAACGCCGCGUGAGUGAAGAAGGUUUUCGGAUCGUAAAGCUCUGUUGUAAGAGAAGAACGAGUGUGAGAGUGGAAAGCUCACACUGUGACGGUAUCUUACCAGAAAGGGACGGCUAACUACGUG